rnacentral:lncRNA from 1 species
CCAGGUGAUUAGCUUUGAAGAUUUCUAUUAUAGUCAAUUGGUGGCCUUUGUGUUUCUCCUUUUUUUAUCAGAUUUUAUGUAGUGUUUUGAAGACUUCUUUUUCUUUUAGUUUCUUUUCUGUUUUUUUUUUGCAUUGAUUUUGUCAGUCUGUUUAUUGAUUUAUCAGGUUUGAUUGAUAAAGAGGGCCUUGAUGGGGCCUACAAUUCUGUUUUCUUUAAUCUUUCAAGUCAUUUUUAU